rnacentral:rRNA from 1 species
AACGAACGCUGGCGGCAGGCCUAACACAUGCAAGUCGAACGCCCCGCAAGGGGAGUGGCAGACGGGUGAGUAACACGUGGGAACCUACCCUUUGGUUCGGAAUAGCCCAGGGAAACUUGGGGUAAUACCGGAUAAGCCCUUCGGGGGAAAGAUUUAUCGCCGAAGGAUGGGCCCGCGUCGGAUUAGCUAGUUGGUGGGGUAACGGCCUACCAAGGCGACGAUCCGUAGCUGGUCUGAGAGGAUGAUCAGCCACACUGGGACUGAGACACGGCCCAGACUCCUACGGGAGGCAGCAGUGGGGAAUAUUGGACAAUGGGCGCAAGCCUGAUCCAGCCAUGCCGCGUGAGUGACGAAGGUCUUCGGAUUGUAAAGCUCUUUUGGCGGGGACGAUAAUGACGGUACCCGCAGAAUAAGCCCCGGCUAACUUCGUGCCAGCAGCCGCCGCCG